UUACUUUUACUUCUACUUCAAACCCCUACGUCCCCUAAACCCUAAUCGCACUUCACUCCAGACGCACGCGGCGCACGCAUUCGAGGAUUAAACACCUCCGCCGAAUGGUAUCGCCGUGCAAGGGACAAAAUCUUGAAUUAAGCCUCGUGCAACACUCAUUAGCCUUUGACUUUACGGUCCUAACCGUUCCUCUCUCUUCGCCAUCACUCUUCCUAUUUCCUUUUGAGACGCAAAGGCCAGGACACGUGCCGAAAGGAAGUCAGUCGACUGCGUAUCAAUUCCUUGACAAACACAAUGGAGUCUGCAGAAGUGCGUCACAUCGGAGAUUAUUAAAAACGCCAUCCUUUCUUAAGUUGGAAGCAUUUCAGAAGGACAUGCCGUAGGCAGAGGAUGCUCUGGCUCCCAGCAGAAACGUUAGAAAUGUGUUUGUCCUAGCAUGGGAGAACUUUGGGAAAUAGUUGGAAAGAAAAAAAAACAAAAAAAAAACAAAAAACAGAAGAGCCCAGACGCUGAUGUAUAAACAAAAGAGCAGGCGCGAGUGCCCGUCCUUUCCUCUCGGCCUGCCCCGGAACGCUAUCGCAAAACAUUCCAGUCAGCAGUAAAGGACUGGCGGAGGUCACCAAAGCAAGACAGGGGCCCUGCAGAGGUCUGUCGCCAAAUGGAGACGUGGGGGAAGAAACGCCUAAAGAUUUAUUUUUUUCUUUGCCCAAUUUGGACAAUGAUAACACCCCUUCAGCCCGGCUGUUUGUUUUUCUUUUAUUUUACGAGUUCUUUGUGGCCGAAUAUAGACUUGCAGCCAUACAAAAUGCUUUCGUAAUGUUUAGCCAUUUAAUUAGCAGUAAGGUUUAAAAAAGAAAGGAACGUUAUGACCUCUGGAAGUGGGAUGCAAAAUGCACAGGGGACAGAGAAUCAGAUUCACAACAAUCAUACAUAUACAUGAAGCAUUCCAAUCAUUGACCAAUCAGCUUUUCCUGCCAAAAGUACUCAUUAUGGAAUGCAUUACAAACAGAAAGGAUAUUAACAUCUGUUUUUGACAAGUUUAAUGAUGAAAUACUGCCUAACGAUAAAAAGUGUAGAGAAUUUAAAUUCAAAUUUGUUGACAUAUUGCAUCCAUUGUAAUUUUGUGCCAAAUCUGUAUUCAUUAUUAUGUUGUAACUCACUAUAUGGCACUAUUUUGACUUUUAGUGUCAUCAAUUGUUUUAUUUUGUGAAAAUUAUGUUGCUGAAUAAUUGUGCGUUUUGUAUUUGGUACCAUUUUAAAACGGGCCAAACACAAGUUAUGAAUCAGCCUUGGCUAGAAACUAGAUGCAGCACAUCUGUUUCUUGUUUUUAACUUGUAACAGUGUUAAAUUGCACUAUACCAAAAAAAUAAAUGACAAAAUAAAAAUAUAUAUUUUAUAUGUUCAGAUUAAAA